AUGUACCAGAAGUACGUUGCCGAGUUGGACACGAUUACGCCUGAGCAGGUGGAAUGGCAGCCAUAUGGCGCCGAUGAUAGACUUGGGUACACCCCGGAGUUUAGCAUCAACCCGAUGUGCUUGCGGGAUAGGGAUCUCUGGCUUAUGCGGUGCCCACUGAUAUGCAACUGGGCUGUUGAGUUUCAUUUGCCACAUCGCGUGUUUCGUCAGUUUGGUCUGUUCCAGCCUCACCCGCCGGAAUGGGUGGAUACGGACAAAGCACUUCAUAGGUUGGACAGGAGAAGGCAGCGGAAGAUAAAGGACUGGGACAAGCAUCAUGCUUCAUAUGUUACCCGCUUCCAGCUUUGCGUGGAGCAAGCUCGUAGCAGUGCACGCGCCCAGCUUCGUGAGCAUAACCCAAUUGCUUUUGAUAACUACAUACGAUGGCUUCUUGAAAAUACUUGA
rnacentral:rRNA from 1 species